AGGACAAUGACAAAGCUGUGUUUGCAAACAAUUGGAAACUUCAAGACCAUCCUCCUGGUUGCCUGUGGAAAUCUUCUGCCUGCCUUUGGAUCAAGCUGCAGAACCCAUGGCUCUUCCAGUACCAUGACUUUUGCAUGCUGCCACACUUCCUGACAUGAUGAUAAUAGAAGGAAGCGCUAAAACUAACCUGAAUCUCCAAAGUGUCCCCAGAUAAUAUUAUGAUGACAAUCAUCCAUGAGCCAUCAAUGUCCAUAUUGAAACCUACAAUCAUUGUUGCUUCUGAAGAGAUUUCUAACGUCAAGGAUCCCUGAAGCCAGCAGAAUGUACGCUGAAGUUCACAGUCAAUACUGCAACCUCAGGUCAUGUUGAGAGUUCCACAUAUAGUGAGUUGAGGUCACAUAUAUACUGGCAACAGACAACAGUGCAUGUAUGUGAUACUUCAGGCCUCAGCAGCCUGAUAUCAUUGAUCUCCACUGCCUCACGAGAGCACAUUAAUAUGAGUGUCUCCAACUGCCAGUAAAAUCAUUACAG
ensembl:lncRNA